UACAGAGGUCUCAAGCGUUGUUCGGAUUCAUUGGGCGUAAAGGGUGCGUAAGUGGCGCCGUAAGUCGGGUGUGAAAUUUCGGAGCUUAACUCCGAAACUGCAUUCGAUACUGCGGUGCUUGAGGACUGGAGAGGAGACUGGAAUUCAUGGUGUAGCAGUGAAAUGCGUAGAGAUCAUGAGGAAGACCAGUGGCGAAGGCGGGUCUCUGGACAGUUCCUGACACUGAGGCACGAAGGCCAGGGGAGCAAACGGG
rnacentral:rRNA from 1 species